AGCUUUGCGCAGUGGCAGUAUCGUAGCCAAUGAGGUUUAUCCGAGGCGCGAUUAUUGCUAAUUGAAAAGAGAAGAUCCAUAAAGUGAUUUGAUUUUAAUAAUACUACAUAUCAUGACUUAUGUAUUGUUGAUAACAAGUAAUUUG